GAACCCUAGCUCGCCUUCGCCGCAUCUCCGAUCGGCCCUGGCUUGCUCCGGCACCGUAGCUCCACAUCACUGCUCCUAACCUCCUCCACCGCGGGUAAAGGAGGAUGAGGGCCGGAGGCACCGGCUCCGCCACCGAACAGGCACACACCGCGACCGAACUGUAUCCGCUCUGGCAAGACCCAACAUACCUUCGCUUCGGCCACCAACCAGCUCAAUAGAGGUCGCUGGACAGCUAAGUGCAAAUCUCGAGUGGUCAGAAUAUACCUACAAGCACAUUUAGUAUACCCUUCAAGGUAGGUAGUACACCCACAAGCAUGGGCGGAGCUCCCCUUUGGGCAAGGUAUGGCACUUGCCCUACCUUGAUUUUUGGCAAAAAAAAUCGAGUAUAUAUAUGUAUAUAUUUACUAUUAUAUUCGAGUCCGUACGUCAUCAAAAAUGUUUGAUGUUAAACAUUAGAAGAAUCAAGGCCGUACAACAACACCCCCCUCAACUUUAACCAUGUUGGACCGUCCGAUGGAUUUCUUAGUACUUCGUCCCCCUCCUGGUUGAUAGCGUUAAUGCCGGAUCUAUUAAUUUGCAGACAAUCAACAACACUUUCCUUAUUGCCUUGUUAUUCUCGGAAUAAAAUCAAAUUGAUGAGCACAAGUCACGGGAAUCAAUUUUCUUUCCUAUCAAUUUGCAGACAAUCAAAUCAGCAGUUUCCUUAUUACCUUGUCAUUCUCGGAAUAAAAUCAUAUUGAUGAGCACAACUCAUGGGCACCUGAUGGGAUUGUUUUCCCGAUGCCCCCUUCCUUCACGUGUGCACUGUGUUGUGACUUGUGACAAAGGCUAAAGGGUCGGAGGAGGGGGAUGGGCGGAUGGCGAUAGACAGCCGCGGCGAGCGCAACAUUCCCGACAUGUAUCCACCCCGCUCAAGCCAAGCUCUUGCACCCACACGAUACGCAUCAUCGUCAGCCGCGACGCCCGCCAAGGUCGUCUCCUCCCUAGAGGUUGACGAGCUGCGCGCACCACACGCUCGAGGAGAUGGUGUGGUCUUUGUUCGCGAUGGACCGCAUGCAGACCCGACGCAUGACGCGGCGGGGUCCUUGGUGGGGGCACAUCAUGGAUGGAGACGCCGCUGACGGUGGUCGUGAAUGCGUUCAUGGAGCUGGCGCAUGGAAUGGAGGACGAGCGACACCUCAGGCCUUCCCCACCUCCCCGUUGCACUGCUCUAUAUGAUAUUGGUAAUCUGUACAAUCUCACGUGUUAUGGUCCUGUUUGUGACCUACGAUAUGGCUGCCACAAAUGCCAGUUAAUGUAGGUUAUAUAUAAGGGGAAUUUCUUAUUUGUGUGCUCGCAUCCCAGGUGCAUGCCUCUGCAACUUUGGAUCCAUUUCUUAGGCUGCCAUCACAUUUGCUACGCAAUGUCAUGGAAUGUAAUGUGUCUUAUAUUAGUGAAUAUCGACAUAUAUGAAAAUGAGAAGGGGAACCAAGCUCAUGUGCAUCUUGUGCAGGGUCGCUAUUCGUUAAUGUUAUAGCUGAUGAACGACAAGCCUAACAUCGGGGAUGAAUCUCCGUCUGCCCCUAAAGGAGGACAUGCAGAAGAAUUGGCACUAAGGGUGAGGACUUCAACACCUUCACUGUUACGGCCGUAUCUUCUUCUCAUGGGGAUUGACCUUGUCUUCUCUAACAUCAGUUCUCAUAAACUUCGUCCGGGAGGAGCAAGACAACAUGCAACAGAGAUGAGGAUAUAACAGGUCAUGUUUCAGGUUUCAUCAUGGAUAAAAGUUGUGAAAGCAUUCAGUCUGAAGGAUGGUGAAAAUUACAUGUUUACAUUCAAGGACGAGUUUGGGACCUGGCUAAGGCUGAUCAUGAUGAAACUUGAAACCCUCGAGUGAUAGAUUAUGUUGAAGCUGUAGUGCUAAGUGUUAGUAGUUAUGGUUGAACUGCACUUGUUCUGAAUCAUGUAGUAUGCAAAGACUAUUAGUAGUAUUUUGGUAUGCACUAUGUAAGCCUAGUAUCCCCUAUCUAUGACAGUUGUGUUAUGAGCUUC